AAAAUGUGCUGAAAUGUAUGUUUUAUAUUGAGGAGAUUAAAUGCUUGUUAACACAGUUUCCACAGAAAAUUGAUCGCAAUUCAAUCCAAGAAUUUUGCAAUAUAGAAAUGUCUCACUAUGAGAAGCUAUCUUCGAUACGAAAUGAGUUGGACAGAUAUAUAAAGAAACCUGAAA